GACGAACGCUGGCGGCGUGCUUAACACAUGCAAGUCGAACGGAAAGGCCCUGCUUGCAGGGUGCUCGAGUGGCGAACGGGUGAGUAACACGUGGGUGAUCUGCCCCUUACUUUGGGAUAAGCCUGGGAAACUGGGUCUAAUACUGGAUAGGACCAUGCUGUAGGUGGUGUGGUGGAAAGAUUAGUUUCGGUAAGGGAUGAGCUCGCGGCCUAUCAGCUUGUUGGUGGGGUAAUGGCCUACCAAGGCGUCGACGGGUAGCCGGCCUGAGAGGGUGGACGGCCACAUUGGGACUGAGAUGCGGCCCAGACUCCUACGGGAGGCAGCAGUGGGGAAUAUUGCACAAUGGGCGCAAGCCUGAUGCAGCGACGCCGCGUGGGGGAUGACGGCCUUCGGGUUGUAAACUCCUUUCAGCCAUGACGAAGCCCUUGUGGUGACGGUAGUGGUAGAAGAAGCACCGGCUAACUACGUG
rnacentral:rRNA from 1 species